UACGAAGGGGGCUAGCGUUGUUCGGAAUUACUGGGCGUAAAGGGCGCGUAGGCGGUGUGUCAAGUCAGGCGUGAAAGCCCCGGGUUCAACCUGGGAACCGCGCUUGAGACUGGCACGCUCGAGUUCGGGAGAGGAUGGUGGAAUUCCCAGUGUAGAGGUGAAAUUCGUAGAUAUUGGGAAGAACACCGAUGGCGAAGGCAGCCAUCUGGACCGACACUGACGCUGAGGCGCGAAAGCGUGGGGAGCAAACAGG
rnacentral:rRNA from 1 species